UACGUAGGGUGCAAGCGUUGUCCGGAAUUAUUGGGCGUAAAGCGCUCGUAGGCGGUCUGUUGCGUCGGCUGUGAAAACCCGGGGCUCAACCCCGGGCCUGCAGCCGAUACGGGCAGACUAGAGUUCGGCAGGGGAGACUGGAAUUCCUGGUGUAGCGGUGAAAUGCGCAGAUAUCAGGAGGAACACCAGUGGCGAAGGCGGGUCGCUGGGCCGAUACUGACGCUGAGGAGCGAAAGCGUGGGGAGCGAACAGG
rnacentral:rRNA from 1 species